rnacentral:rRNA from 1 species
AUCCCAUCAGAACUCCGAAGUUAAGCGUGCUUGGGCGAGAGUAGUACUAGGAUGGGUGACCUGGGAAGUCCUCGUGUUGCACCC